rnacentral:sRNA from 1 species
UCGAUAUAAAACACCCUGUUCCAUUAGA